GACGAACCGUACGAACGUUAUUCGGAAUUACUGGGCUUAAAGGGUGCGUAGGCUGCACGGAAAGUUGGGUGUGAAAGCCCUCAGCUCAACUGAGGAAUUGCAUCCAAAACUGCCGUGCUUGAGGGAGACAGAGGUGAGCGGAACUCAAGGUGGAGCGGUGAAAUGCGUUGAUAUCUUGAGGAACACCGGUGGCGAAAGCGGCUCACUGGGUCUCUUCUGACGCUGAGGCACGAAAGCUAAGGUAGCAAACGGGAUUAGAUACCCCCGUA
rnacentral:rRNA from 1 species